rnacentral:lncRNA from 1 species
CACAAAGGUCCUGCUAUCACGUUACAGAGCAGAGGCCAGCAGAGACGGGAGGAGGAUGAGCCUCUGCAGAAAGUUGGAAGAUUGAAUCCUGUCAUCUAGUGGAUCUGCAGUUCUUUUUCAAUGAAGUUUUAAAAUAGUUGCAAAGUUAUUUACAAUUACCUCUUGAAAAUAUAAGGGCUAAACUAUAAGCCCAUUCUUCAUGGAAUGCAGCUGAAUCCCUGAGAUUAAUUAAGGAAUUUAGAUGAAGGACCGACGAGACAUGAUCUGACGAUGAGGACUCAAAGAGGAGGUUUCCACAAGCUCAGGCACUGUUCCAGGCACAGGGACACAUCAGUGAA